ACUGUCUUGUUGUGGUUGGCUUGCUUCAUCUUUUCUUGACCAUUGCUUGCAUGAGAGAACUAAUAAGAAUACCACUUGAACAUCAUGACUAGCUCUCUUUGGGUUGUUGCUUGCUUUCUUGAUCAAUCCUUUUGGUUGCUUCAACUAAGCAUCUCAAAUGUCCUUUAGAUCACCACUUCCAUGUUAGCCUUCCAAGCACC
rnacentral:lncRNA from 1 species